ACCGAGGAACGUCGAUCGAUACUGCUGUUCUUGAGGAUUGCAGAGGAGACUGGAAUUCCCGGUGUAGCGGUGAAAUGUGUAGAGAUCGGGAGGAACACCGGUGGCGAAGGCGGGUCUCUGGGCAAUUCCUGACGCUGAGGCGCGAAAGCGUGGGGAGCAAACGGGAUUAGAUACCCCGGUAGUCCACGCUGUAAACGAUGACGACUAGGUGUGGGGGGGUUCAGUCCCUUCCGUGCCGCAGCUAACGCAUUAAGUCGUCCGCCUGGGGAGUACGGCCGCAAGGUUGAAACUCAAAGGAAUUGACGGGGGCCCGCACAAGCGGUGGAGCAUGUGGUUCAAUUCGAUGCAGAGCGAAGAACCUUACCUGGGCUUGACAUGCAGGAAGUAGGAACCGGAAACGGGGACGACCUGUUAAGUCAGGAACCUGCACAGGUGGUG
rnacentral:rRNA from 1 species